GGCGCCGCGCCCCGACGGCCGCCCGCUUCCCUUUCCCGGAGCCCGGCGCUGCUCACCGGCGUUGGACGCGUACUCUCCGAUGAAGCGCCGGGUCAGGAACCGCACCGCCAGCGCUGCGAGAAGGAAGGAAGGAAGGAAGGAAGCAGCAGGUCGCCAUCCUUCCGUGCCAGGAAUGUGAAGAAAAUGGAGGGAUUCCCCCCUUUCUCCCCAUGCCCCUUUAAAUGCUUCUGAGGCAAUUUGCUGAGAAUAACUGUUUUUCACUUCUCUACUGUUCAGCCUCAAAAGGUUUCCAAGCUCUUGUCGCUCACUAAACCUUUACUUGUAGGCAAAUGUGCUUUUUGUGUGUAUGAGGACUUUUACUCCUUAAAUCAGUCUGGUAAAGAACUUAAAGUUUUCUGCUGAAUGGAGCUUAGGUAAGGCUUACAGCACUCCUCUGCUGUAGAGAAAUGUGACAGAAGUACAGAGAGCACCAAAGGGCCAAACCCACUUUUGCAGUAUUGCAAACAAAAACUUUGUUCUGCUCCACAAGUGCUCUCUAAAGGCUGUUUGAAUGUGCACUUGAGAAUAACUUUAGUUAUCCCACUAGUAAACAGGAGACUACUCUAGUACACAAGUUAUGUAACUACUCUGUUCCCAUUUAUUUUAUUCUGUUUAUGUAAAUUGAAUAUGUUUGUUUAGUCUUUUUAUUCUGUUCUGUUCCAACAUUGGCUCUGUAUAAAUGCUUCAAUAAAUCCUUCUUCAGCAUA